GAUGUAUAAUUAUAAUCUUGACUUGUAGGCUGGAACUUGGGGCAACUAUGGUUUGACUUGGUCCAAUUGCACUUGUCCCGGCCUGCUUGUUUUGAUUCUUCACAACUGUAAGAUUG
rnacentral:pre_miRNA from 9 species